GAUGAAGAACGCAGCGAGAUGCGAUAAGUAAUGUGAAUUGCAGAAUUCAGUGAAUCAUCGAAUCUUUGAACGCACAUUGCGCCCCCUGGUAUUCCGGGGGGCAUGCCUGUCCGAGCGUCAUUACAACCCUCAAGCUCAGCUUGGUGUUGGGCCCCGCCGCCCCGGCGGGCCCUAAAGUCAGUGGCGGUGCCGUCCGGCUCCGAGCGUAGUAAUUCUUCUCGCUCUGGAGGUCCGGUCGUGUGCUCGCCAGCAACCCCCAAUUUUUUUCAGGUUGACCUCGGAUCAGGUAGGGAUACCCGCUGAACUUAAGCAUAUCAAUAAGCGGAGGA
rnacentral:misc_RNA from 1 species